CCUACGGGAGGCAGCAGUGGGGAAUAUUGGGCAAUGGGCGCAAGCCUGACCCAGCAACGCCGCGUGAAGGAAGAAGGCUUUCGGGUUGUAAACUUCUUUUGUCAGGGAAGAGUAGAAGACGGUACCUGACGAAUAAGCCACGGCUAACUACGUGCCAGCAGCCGCGGUAAUACGUAGGUGGCAAGCGUUGUCCGGAUUUACUGGGUGUAAAGGGCGUGUAGGCGGGUUGACAAGUCAGAUGGGAAAUCCUGCGGCUUAACCGCAGAACUGCAUUUGACACUGUUGAUCUUGAGUACUGGGAAGGCAGAUGGAAGUCCUGGUGUAGCGGUGAAAUGCGUAGAUAUGAGGAGGAACACCAGUGGCGAAGGCGGUCUGCUGGACAGCAACUGACGGUGAGGCGCGAAAGCGUGGGGAGCAAACAGGAUUAGAUACCCGUGUAGUC
rnacentral:rRNA from 1 species